rnacentral:rRNA from 1 species
UACGAAGGGUGCAAGCGUUACUCGGAAUUACUGGGCGUAAAGCGUGCGUAGGUGGUGAGUUAAGUCUGUCGUGAAAGCCCCGGGCUCAACCUGGGAAUGGCGAUGGAUACUGGCUCGCUAGAGUGCGGUAGAGGAGAGUGGAAUUCCCGGUGUAGCAGUGAAAUGCGUAGAGAUCGGGAGGAACAUCAGUUGCGAAGGCGAUCACCUGGGGUUGUUCUGACGCUGAGGAGCGAAAGCUAGGGGAGCAAACGGG